CAUGGCUCAGAUUGAACGCAGGGGGCAGGCCUAACACAUGCAAGUCGAACGGUAGCACAGAGGAGCUUGCUCCUUGGGUGACGAGUGGCGGACGGGUGAGUAAUGUCUGGGAAACUGCCCGGUGGAGGGGGAUAACUACUGGAAACGGUAGCUAAUACCGCAUAACGUCGCAAGACCAAAGAGGGGGACCUUCGGGCCUCUUGCCAUCGGAUGUGCCCAGAUGGGAUUAGCUAGUAGGUGGGGUAACGGCUCACCUAGGCGACGAUCCCUAGCUGGUCUGAGAGGAUGACCAGCCACACUGGAACUGAGACACGGUCCAGACUCCUACGGGAGGCAGCAGUGGGGAAUAUUGCACAAUGGGCGCAAGCCUGAUGCAGCCAUGCCGCGUGUAUGAAGAAGGCCUUCGGGUUGUAA
rnacentral:rRNA from 1 species